GCGAGCGCCGAGCCGCGAGGCGACGGCGUUCUCGCCGGAUGGUAGGGAACCGACCCGGGGGACCGCCGGGGGCAACCCCGGCGCCCCCCGAGACGGGGCGAACCACGGUGAAAUGACGGAUCGUCGGCCCCGCGCCGGCGACUCGCCGAAUGAGUUUCUGACCUAUCAACUCGAGACGGCGGGGUAGAGGCCCGCCGCGGUAACGACGGGUAACGGGGAAUCAGGGUUCGAUUCCGGAGAGGGAGCCCGAGAAACGGCUACCACUUCCAAGGAAGGCAGCAGGCGCGCAACUUACCCUAAUCUCGAUUCGAGGAGGUAGUGACAAGAAAUACCGAUGCGGGACCCUACGGGUGCCGCGUUCGGAAUGAGUACGAUUCGAACCACCUAACGAGGAACGAUCGGAGGGCAAGUCUGGUGCCAGCAGCCGCGGUAAUUCCAGCUCCAAUAGCGUACGUUAAAGUUGCUG
rnacentral:rRNA from 1 species